rnacentral:tRNA from 1 species
GGCUUGGUGGUCUAGUGGUAUGAUUCUCGCUUAGGGUAACACCCGAAAGCAAAUGUGCGAGAGGUCCCGGGUUCAAUCCCCGGCCAAGCCC